rnacentral:piRNA from 2 species
GGGAAUUGAACCCAGGUCCUCUGGAA